rnacentral:rRNA from 1 species
AGGAUUAACGCUGGCGGCGUGCAUGAAACAUGCAAGUCGAGCGCGGCGCGUGGCUUCGGUCACGCGUCUAGCGGCGCACGGGUGAGUAACACGUGAGCAACCUACCUUCGAGUUCGGGAUAGCCCUGGGAAACCAGGAUUAAUACCGGAUGUGGUCACAACGGGACAUCCCGAUGUGAAAAAAGGCGUAAGCCGCUCGAUGACGGGCUCGCGGCCUAUUAGCUUGUUGGUGGGGUAACGGCCUACCAAGGCGACGAUGGGUAGCUGGUCUGAGAGGACGAUCAGCCACACUGGGACUGAGACACGGCCCAGACUCCUACGGGAGGCAGCAGUUAGGAAUUUUCCGCAAUGGGCGAAAGCCUGACGGAGCAACGCCGCGUGUGUGAUGAAGGCCUUCGGGUUGUAAGCACUGUCGGAGGGAAGAAUGAAUGACGGUACCUCCAAGAAAGCCCGGCUAACUACGCGCUAGCAGCCGC